rnacentral:lncRNA from 1 species
CGCCGCCUCUCCGCUCCUCGCCCUCGACAUCGGAGGUAAACUCCUGGUACCACAGCUCCCCGGCUUCUUCUGUAUCCUGGUUCCGUCCUCGCUGGUCUUUAUGCGGAUGGAUGUGGCCUGUGAGCGGUGACAUUAACAUUCACAUCUGGAAGAUUUGGGGCAGCAUUUGCAGGCUUUGUUGGUUCUUCCUCGCGGAAUAUCUAAUAACCAUAUGUAAACUUUUAGUCAAACAAGCUAUUCCAACAAUUAUUUUUUCAAUAACCGGCAUAGUUGUUGUGAUAAUCAUCUGAUUUUAGUUGAUAAAAGUUCAAACAUAUGAACAGGAGAUCAUAAGACUUGACGGUUCAACAGGAUGCGGCAGAACAUCUAAAUUGACAAAUAUUGAGACAUGUCCUAUGCAUGUAUAUGAUAAUACUUCGUCAUGCAUUAAGAAAACAGAAGAACAUAGUCGAAUCUGCAUUGACCAUCCAUUCAAGCAAAUGAUGAUAUACAAGCUGAAUGAACUGUAACAGAAGACUGAAUGUACACAGCUUUCCUGCAGGGGAGACACAACACAACACACAUAAGUACCAUCAUGUGCCUGUUCUUGAGUCUUUGUCUUCCUGAAUCCCAUGACCAGCUUCCCUUCUGGAUCUAUUCGGCUGAAGUUUACUGGACAAUAUCACAUGGCAUCAGUUAUAAUAGCAAAACAAGUGGCCAUUUUCUUAAGAAAAAAGGUGCAUCGCAUAUGGAGAAGGGAAAAAAGACCAUUGCAGCUUUCAUCUAUUCCCAAAAUCCUUUUCAACCUAAAACUGUUUCGAUGUAAUCUCAGGUUCUUAAAACCAUUGACUUUACCCCUUUUGUCCCAUUCCAAAGUGGUUGUCAUUGACAGCGGUGGUCUUCACUAACAUGGUGGCCCUCCUGUCGAGGCCUGUCUGAAAGCAGACGCUCAAGGCCAAGCCAACAUAGCUCCAUUGGAAAAUACAGUAUGUAGGAUAGGGUGUCAAGGUACUAGCUAGGCUUGAUCAGCGGUUGUUACUUGCUCGUGAGCUAGGGUGUUCUUCGGAGCAUUCUGAAGUCUUUUGCUGUCAACUUUGUGGCUCAUGAUCGAUUCUAGGAAGAGGGGAAUCUAGAAUUUAACUGUUGACAGCGGUUAGCGGUAUUUGCAGUCACUCUUUUCUGGGAUGCAAACAUAGUGUUUUACUCUGUUUUCAGUGUGUCAAGUUUCAGUUUUUGCCCAACUCAAAAAUAAAAAGGUUUUAACUUCUUUUGUUUUAUGAUUUAGUUAUGUGUUGGAGUUUUAUCUUUGUCCUGGGUUAAAGUGUAGCAUUUUCAUGCCAGGGACAACAACAGGGUCAAGCAAAGAAAUCAUGACACUGAAGGUAUGAUUUUUUUCUCGUGUUACUACGUACCGAUGACCUUAUGGGUUUAUGACCCAAAAGAUGAAUACAUUAAUGCAAACGGAGACCAUUUAUGCAGUUCGCAAUUGGAAGUGCUCCUCUAUUUAUUUGUAGUAACAUGUAUGGCAUGCUUCACCUCUUCUUUAGCCAAAAUAUGAAAUUUCAAAUGAUACAUUCAUUAUGUGCGUUGCCGUGGACAGUUACAUGGGAUUUGAAUUAAUCCAUUACCAUUUUUUAUUACGUGCUCCUGUCAACAUCCACCAAAGUCAUUCUUACUAUUUACAAUUUAUUGUUAAAAAUAAUUCUUGAAAUUAAUUUUCAUGGACUCAUCCUAUCACUAAUAAAUACUCCUGAAGAGUUGCAGGAAUGAUUUUUUGUCACCAAGCGACAGAUUGUAACUGUUUGUGGCGCAUUUAGGAAACAUAGAUUUUGCCCCUAUAGUUGAAACUUAUGCAUACUUUCUUUGGGUAGUUUAUAUAAUAUAUGGUGUGGAAGAAUUGGAUGCACAUCCACUAUUUUCCCCCUCUGAAUUUACUGCAAUGCAUAUUUACCUGGAGCUAGCAUCACAUAUUGUAUGUCAAGUGCCAAGUCAGUUUUCACUAAAUACGAAUUAAAAAAAUAUAUGAAUCGUUUCAUUAGCUUUGGCUACACGUUUCGGAUAAUGCCAAUAUCAAUAUUUGCAAGUACUCCUAUGAACUCAUAUGAUGCAUCUCCCACUUUUUUAUUUGCGAGGUACCUGACAUAGCAGUGUUUGGAAAGAACUUAUUUCUGGUAGUAAUUUCUCCAUUAUGAAACUACUUUCGACUGCAGUAGCUCGAGGACAAUGUGGGCUACUACAAGACCAAGACAUGCAUUAAAAUAUGAUUACAUUUAGUAGUGAAUGGUAAAGAAGGUUAUGAUUUUCUUCAAAUUGCAAAUUAUUUAUUCAUGUUCAAAGAAUGUCCUCUAGAUGCUUAUGUAGAAAAUAGUUCAUCAUGCACAUUUUUCUCGACAAACUGGAACUUCCAGUUAUACUUGUUGUAUAUUUAUAGGUUGUAGACUUAUAGUUGAAAUUUUCAAAUGAUCAGAUAUUUUUGUAGUUGUAGUUCGAGAAGUGCCUAAAACUGAAGUAUGCACAUCUUGACUAGAAGCUAUACUCACUAGCUUGAUUUCUCCUAUGAGAUGUAGAAUAUUUAUUUCUGGAGUGUUGUUGUAGUUUCCUUUUUUGCCGUAGCUGCUUAUCUAUCAAAUUUAUUUUGUAGAGUAUCUAUGCAUGUGCGGGUUAUGUUUCACCCUGUGUCCUAUAAAUAAUAUGAAUUCUUUCAAUUAGUUCAUUGUUUUGGAACUUGGCCCAUGCCGCACGGCAUAGUUCCUCGACACCAGGUCAUUCCUGGAUUAUAACAACAUCGGGAGUCUGACCAUGUAGUCUACUUAUUCGUAGUGAACCACAUGUGCGAACCAUGUAUUCUAAACCCGAUCAACCGUAUUUCUCCGUAGGUCGACGAAAUAUGAGUCGGAGCAUGUCUUAGGUUGUGGAAAUGUGAGCCGAACUAGGAAGGAGUCUUAAGUUAUUAAGGACAUCUCUUUCCAUUUCUCUCGUUGCAACGCACGGGCAUUUUUACUAGUCUCUCCCUAAUAAUAAAGCAAAUACGGUUUCUGGUCGUCCGUCUUGAAAAUUACCCUAAAGUUUACAUAAAUUACCCACCAUGUCACCGGUAAGUAAUAGAAAACGAAAAAUCUUGACCUGGGCCGGCCCAUGUAAAAACGUCCUAUAUUACGCUCAGCACGCUGGGAGAAUAUCCAACACAUCGUAAGGGUCGGCCCAUGCACAGGCGUCUGCUUUUAGUUUCGUUUAUUUAUUUAUUUUCAGUUCCGUUUUACUUUUUUAUUUUAAAUAAUUUAGAAC